rnacentral:misc_RNA from 1 species
GGAAGUAAAGUCGUAACAAGGUUUCCGUAGGUGAACCUGCGGAAGGAUCAUUAUUGUAUAACCGAGGUGCGAGGGCUGUCGCUGACCCGAAAGGUCGUGCACGCCCGAGUGCCCUCACACACAUCCAUCUCACCCCUAUGUGCACCACCGCGUGGGUCCCCCUUUGGCUUGUUCGGAGGGGGGCUUACGUUUUCACACAAACUUUGUAUGCAGUGUAGAAUGUAUUUUUUGCUUUUGCGAUCACGCAAUCAAUACAACUUUCAACAACGGAUCUCUUGGCUCUC